rnacentral:rRNA from 1 species
UACGUAGGUGACAAGCGUUGUCCGGAUUUACUGGGCGUAAAGAGCGCGCAGGCGGUCGUUCAAGUCGAGUGUGAAAGCCCCCGGCUCAACUGGGGAGGGGCACUCGAUACUGAUCGACUCGAAGGCAGGAGAGGGAAGUGGAAUUCCCGGUGUAGUGGUGAAAUGCGUAGAUAUCGGGAGGAACACCAGUGGCGAAGGCGACUUCCUGGCCUGUUCUUGACGCUGAGGCGCGAAAGCUAGGGUAGCAAACGGG